rnacentral:rRNA from 1 species
GCCAGCGGGUAAUGCCGGGGAACUCGUAAGGAGACUGCCGGUGACAAACCCGGAGGAAGUGGGGACGACGUCAAGUCAUCAUGGCCUUACGGGUAAGGGCUACACACGUGCUACAAUGGCCGGUACAAAGGGUUGCGAAGCCGCGAGGUGGAGCUAAUCCCGAAAAGCUGGUCUCAGUCCGGAUCGGAGUCUGCAACUCGACUCCGUGAAGUCGGAAUCGCUAGUAAUCGUGAAUCAGAAUGUCACGGUGAAUACGUUCCCGGGCCUU